rnacentral:misc_RNA from 1 species
UACGGAGGGUCCAAUCGUUAAUCGGAAUUACUCGGCGUAAAGCGCGCGUAGGUGACUUGAUAAGCCGGUUGUGAAAGCCACGGGCUCAACCUGGGAACGGCAUCCGGAACUGUCAAGCUCGAGUGCAGGAGAGGAAGGUAGAAUUCCCGGUGUAGCGGUGAAAUGCGUAGAGAUCGGGAGGAAUACCAGUGGCGAAGGCGGCCUUCUGGAAUGACACUGACACUGAGGUGCGAAAGCGUGGGUAGCAAACAGG